rnacentral:rRNA from 1 species
UACGUAGGGACCAAGCGUUGUUCGGAUUCAUUGGGCGUAAAGGGUGCGUAGGCGGCGCGGUAAGUCGGGUGUGAAAUCUCGGGGCUUAACUCCGAAACUGCAUUCGAUACUGCCGUGCUUGAGGACUGGAGAGGAGACUGGAAUUUACGGUGUAGCGGUGAAAUGCGUAGAUAUCGUAAGGAAGACCAGUGGCGAAGGCGGGUCUCUGGACAGUUCCUGACGCUGAGGCACGAAGGUCAGGGGAGCAAACGGG